rnacentral:rRNA from 1 species
UACGGAGGGUGCAAGCGUUAAUCGGAAUUACUGGGCGUAAAGCGCACGCAGGUGGCUGAGUCAGUCGAUUGUGAAAUCCCUCGGCUUAACCGGGGAACUGCAUCUGAUACUGGAUGGCUUGAGAUUGGGAGAGGGAUGCGGAAUUCCAGGUGUAGCGGUGAAAUGCGUAGAUAUCUGGAGGAACACCGGUGGCGAAGGCGGCAUCCUGGACCAACACUGACGCUGAGGAGCGAAAGCCAGGGGAGCAAACGGG